rnacentral:lncRNA from 1 species
CAGAAACUUUCUGAAAUCUUCCAGAAUUUUCUUUCUAUCCUUGAGGUGUCAUUUUACAUGAGAGUUCUCAGUGGGUCUUUUCAAACUGGAGACUCAUGAUCAUGACAAUCUGGUGCACUCCGACUGUGUUCCACCACACCUCCUUAAUGGGGUUGAAAACCUUCCCAGGGAGACCGUUAGACUGAACAAAUCAAACCCCAGAGCCUUGGUUCAUGUGAAAGGAGAGAGGAGCCGGGUCUAGACAGGGGAACAAAGCUAGAUCCACCAGACACAAACUGCAAGCUAACUUUGACCCUGCUGCCCACCCGCGCCUGGUGGGCUCUCCAUCACUCUGUGACCUCAAGCACUCCCUGUGCAUGGUUGGUCACUCUCUGAGCCAACACAUGCCACCAGCCAUGCUGUGUCUAGCGUCUCCUUACCAUGUGGAUUAAGGGUGGAGUCCGGGGCAGGUUGUUCUACCUGGACGUCAGGCUGCAAUCACACAGCCAAGAGCAGCAGGACAAUAGAUGUUUGGGCCCGAGGCGUCACUUGCCCUCCAUGUCAUGCAGUUCUGGGGGAGCAGCCUGGACAAGUUGAGUGCCACCUUCUUAACCCUCCUUGGACUCCAGAGAAAGCUGCAUGUCACCCCCAGCUGGACUACAGAGAGGAACUUCUUGCAAACUGGAGUGAAAUACCACGUCUAGGACAGAGACACUGAUACAACCUAGUGACCUUAGCCCCAGUUCAUCAACCCCUGUGUGAGUCUCUGCACAAUUUUAUCACACAUAUAGGCUCCUGUGUGCACCUCAUUGACUCUUCACAAUCACACCAAUCUUUUCCUCCCCUCCCUCAUCCACAUCUUUGUCCACCUUCCUCCCAUCCCUAGCUUCUGGCAGCUACUGACCUGCUCUCUAGUUCCAUCAUUUUGUCAUUAUGAAAUGUUAUAUAAGUGGAACACACAGUGUAGAAUACUGUACCAGGACUGGUGUUUUCAUUCCACACAAUUCUCUGGGAAUUCAUUAAGGCUAUAUGGGUGUCAACAGUUAAUUUUUGUUUAUUGCUCAGUAGUAGUUCAUGCUAUGGAUGUACUACAGUUUGUUUAAUAUUUAACACUUAAAGGACAUCUGGCUCGACUUUUGUAACGGGGUAUUAUGACUAUAGCUGCUUUGAACAUUUGUAUACAAGCUUUUUUUUCUUGAUGAACCCAAAUUUCAUUUUUCUGGAAAAAUAACUCAAAAUUUAAUGUCUAGGUCAUAUAGUGAGUCCAUAUUUAGUUUUCUAAUAAAUUGACAAAACAUCUUAGAGAGUU